rnacentral:pre_miRNA from 14 species
UCCUCCUGGUCGGAUCGGACCUCCACUGGUUUUUGCUGCGGUAAUAUUUCUCAGAAUCAAUAUCACCGGGUAAAAAUCAGGGCAGGUCCGAUUCCAGCCA